AGUGAACGCUGGCGGUAGGCCUAACACAUGCAAGUCGAACGGCAGCACAGUAAGAGCUUGCUCUUACGGGUGGCGAGUGGCGGACGGGUGAGGAAUACAUCGGAAUCUACUUUUUCGUGGGGGAUAACGUAGGGAAACUUACGCUAAUACCGCAUACGACCUACGGGUGAAAGCAGGGGAUCUUCGGACCUUGCGCGAUUGAAUGAGCCGAUGUCGGAUUAGCUAGUUGGCGGGGUAAAGGCCCACCAAGGCGACGAUCCGUAGCUGGUCUGAGAGGAUGAUCAGCCACCCUGGAACUGAGCCACGGUCCAGACUCCUACGGGAGGCAGCCGUGGGGAAUAUUGGACAAUGGGCCCAAGCCUGAUCCAGCCCUACCGCGUGGGUUAAGAAGGCCUUCGGGUUUUAAAGCCCUUUUGUUGGGAAAGAAAAGCAGCAGGUUAAUACCCCGCUGUUCUGACGGUACCCAAAGAAUAAGCACCGGCUAACUUCGUG
rnacentral:rRNA from 1 species